UGUUGUGUUCAGUGUUUCACUGCCAGGUAGACGCCAAGGCCAGCCAGGUAACUUGUCUCCUCCUGAUCAGUAGUUUGUUUACUCUAUUUUUUUCCACAAUAGUUUGUGUAUUGCAGUAAAUGUUUUGACCAGAAUGUAAUUGAAACAUUAUUUUGAACAUUGAAAAAUAUAAUUUCGACUUUUUGCAGAUACUGAACUUCAAAGAGUUCACCAGAAAGUCACCAUUUCACCAGAAAAGAGCUGUCAGUGGGACCAGCGUGAUGUGAACAUGAGAUGGGCACUUGUCCUUGCACUUCCUGUUUAUCUGCAUGAAAAUGCCUCCAACUUCUUCCAGACCUGUCCAUGACUCCCUGUCAAUGCUUUUGUCUAAUCAUUCAACUGAAACUCAUCAUCAUUCAAAUAACACAAUCUCCAGAUGACACUGUCGUGGUUCUCCUCUCAGUUGUCGUGGUGACGCUCCUGAUGCUGCCGUCAGUGGUCCCACAGAUCUGGCUGACUCUUCGGGUACAUCUAUGCUCUGGACCUACAGUACCCCAAAAAACUUGAACUUGCCUCCACAUUUAUUCAGAACGCUGUCAUGAGCCUUGGCUUGUCAUGACAGCAAACCACUGAGAACCACUGAAAGGAUGUUUAUUGACGCUGAAACAUGUUUUGUUGAGUGAGUCUCCCAGAAUGGACUAUUUGUUGGUUUAAGUGUUGUGUUAUGUUGUGUUUUUUGUUGUGAUUAUUUGCUUUUUCUGCCGUACACUUUUUGUAUAAUGCAGUUU